UGGCAAUGAAAUGGCUGAUAAAACUGC
rnacentral:piRNA from 1 species